ACCCUGACUUAUUUGUGCAAAAUUUACAAUAUCAAAGUACGUGGAAAAUCGAAGACAUUGUAACAGUCAUAAGAAUUUCUUAACGACAAUUUGAAUUAUUUGAUAAACAAGUGAAAAAAAUCAACUAAAUUAUUCAAUAUGAAUUUCAAAGUCAUUUUUUUCAUCGCAUUCUCUGCAAUUCACCUUAAUAAAGGAAAUGCAAAAGAAAAUUUUGAAUUAGAUUUGGAAAAAAAUGUAUACUACGAUGAUGAGCAACGUCUUAUAUGGACGUACCUCAAUUUUAUAGCUGCAAAAAAUAAAAUAGCAGCAGAUGCAGUAGAAGAAAAAAAAAAUGAAAGGACCAUUGUCAUUAUUGGAGUUAUAAUGCGUAUGAGUAAAAAAUUUUUUAAACGUGUUGAAAUUGUCAGACCAACUAGAUGGAAUACAACGGGAUCACGAUUUGAGUCUCGAUUGCGUGAAGGAAUCUUGAAUCUGAGAAAGAGUGUCGAUGCAAUGACAGCAAUAGCGAAAACUCUGCCGAGAAAAUCUAUAGACGUUAAUAAUUAUAAAAUUCCGAAGGUGUGUGAGGAGAUCAGAGAAUCGCCCACGCCAAGAAAUGUGUAGUAAAUUUACUACAAAUGGAGUUCCGUCUACUACACUGACUAGUAGUAUAUAGGAUAACUACAAGUUUAGUAACAGUUACUAGUAUACUGUGGUACACAACUUGUAGUACCAUUUACUACAGUAAGUAGUAAUAAGAACUUACAUUAAAUAACCGCUGUGGUUCUUUUUACUCCACAACAUAGUUGAAUAUAUUUUAUUCCUAAUGUAUUAAUUAAAUAUCUCUUAGUUAACAGUCAUUAGUUUUUGUGAUAUUGAAAAAAAUAUAAAAAAAUUAAUCUUACAUUCUUUGGACUUAUAGUUUAUAAAAUUGAAAUGAUAUAAAAAUGAAUUUAUUAAUAAAUAACUUAAAAUAAUAAGGACUCAAAUUUUAAAACCCUACUUUUUAUCAAUACC